AUUGUAUCCACGAUUGGGGAAUUUUCCGCAAUGGGCGCAAGCCUGACGGAGCAAUACCGCGUGAGGGAGGAAGGCUCUUGGGUCGUAAACCUCUUUUCUCAGGGAAGAAUAAAUGACGGUACCUGAGGAAUCAGCAUCGGCUAACUCCGUGCCAGCAGCCGCGGUAAUACGGAGGAUGCAAGCGUUAUCCGGAAUGAUUGGGCGUAAAGCGUCCGCAGGUGGCAGUGUAAGUCUGCUGUCAAAGGUCAGGGCUCAACCCUGAACAGGCAGUGGAAACUACACAGCUAGAGUGCGGUGGGGGCAGAGGGAAUUCCCAGUGUAGCGGUGAAAUGCGUAGAGAUUGGGAAGAACACCGGUGGCGAAAGCGCUCUGCUAGGCCGCAACUGACACUCAUGGACGAAAGCUAGGGGAGCGAAUGGGAUUAGAUACCCCAGUAGUCAAUCGUGGAUACAAU
rnacentral:rRNA from 1 species